rnacentral:rRNA from 1 species
AGCGAACGCUGGCGGCGUGCCUAACACAUGCAAGUCGAACGUGAACGGGGGCGAACUCCUAGUAAAGUGGCGUACGGGUGAGUAACGCGUAGGUAAUCUACCCCUUACGUCUGGAAUAACCGGCCGAAAGGACUGGCUAAUACUGGAUAGAGCGACGGAAUCCGUAAUUGGGUUUCUCGGAAAGGGAGCUCGCAAGAGCCCUCGCUUUGGGAUGAGCCUGCGUCUCAUUAGGUAGUUGGUGGGGUAACGGCCACCAAGCCUUUGAUGAGUAGCUGGUCUGAGAGGAUGAUCAGCCACACUGGAACUGAAACACGGUCCAGACUCCUACGGGAGGCANCAGUGGGGAAUCUUGCGCAAUGGGCGAAAGCCUGACGC